AAGUUUGAUUAUGGCUCAGAUUGAACGCUGGCGGGAUGCUUUACACAUGCAAGUCGAACGGCAACACGGACUUCGGUCUGGUGGCGAGUGGCGAACGGGUGAGUAAUGUAUCGGAACGUGCUGGUAGCGGGGGAUAACUACGCGAAAGCGUAGCUAAUACCACAUACGCCCUUCGGGGAAAGCGGGGGACCUUCGGGCCUCGCACUAUUAGAGCGGCCGAUAUCGGAUUAGCUAGUUGGUGGGACGCGGCUCACCAAGGCGACGAUCCGUAGCUGGUUUGAGGACAACAAACCACACUGGGACUGAGACACGGCCCAGACUCCUACGGGGAGGCGGCAGUGGGGAAUUUUGGAUCAAUGGGGAAACCCUGAUCCAGCCAUCCCGCGUGUGCGAUGAAGGCCUUCGGGUUGUAAAGCACUUUUGGCAGGAAAGAAACGGCACGGGAUAAUACCCCGUGCAACUGGCGAACGCCUGCAGAAUAAGCGCCGGCUAACUACGUGCCAGCAGCCGCGGUAAUACGUAGGUGCAAGCGUUAAUCGGAAUUACUGGGCGUAAAGCGUGCGCAGGCGGUUCGGAAAAGAAAGAUGUGAAAUCCCAGAGCUUAACUUUGGAACUGCAUUUUUAACUACCGAGCUAGAGUGUGUCAGAGGAGGUGGAAUUCCACGCGUGUAGCAGUGAAAUGCGUAGAUAUGCGGAGGAACACCGAUGGCGAAGGCAGCCUCCUGGGAUAACACUGACGCUCAUGCACGAAAGCGUGGGGAGCAAACAGGAUUAGAAUACCUGGUAGUCCACGCCUAAACGAUGUCAACUAGCUGUUGGGGCCUUCCGGGCCUUGGUAGCGCAGCCCCAACGCGUGAAGGUGUUGCCUGGGGAGAGUACGGUCGCAAGAUUAAAACUCAAAGGAAUUGACAGGGACCCGCACAAGCGUUGGAUGAUGUGGAUUAAUUCGAUGCAACGCGAAAAACCUUACCUACCCUUGACAUGUCUGGAAUCCCGAAGAGAUUUGGGAGUGCUCGCAAGAGAACCGGAACACAGGUGCUGCAUGGCUGUCGUCAGCUCGUGUCGUGAGAUGUUGGGUUAAGUCCCGCAACGAGCGCAGCCGCCUUGUCAUUAGUUGCUACGAAGGGCACUCUAAUGAGACUGCCGGUGACAAACCGGAGGAAGGUGGGGAUGACGUCAAGUCACUCAUGGCCCUUAUGGGUAGGGCUUCACGUCAUACAAUGGUCGGGACAGAGGGUCGCCAGCCCGCGAGAGGCCAAUCCCAGAAACCCGAUCGUAGUCCGGAUCGCAGUGCAACUCGACUGCUUGAAGUCGGAAUCGCUAGUAAUGCCGGAUCAGCAUGUCAUGAUGAAUACGUUCCGGGUCUUGUACACACCGCCCGUCACACCAUGGGAGUGGGUUUACCGAUAGUUAGCCUAACCGUAAGGAGGCGAUUACCACGGUAGGAUUCAUGACUGGGGUGAAGUCGUAACAAGGUAG
rnacentral:rRNA from 1 species